rnacentral:rRNA from 1 species
GCUGGAAAGUCAGUGGUGAAAUCCCCGAGCUUAAGUUGGGAACUGCCAUUGAUACUAUCAGUCUUGAAUAUCGUGGAGGUUAGCGGAAUAUGUCAUGUAGCGGUGAAAUGCUUAGAUAUGACAUAGAACACCAAUUGCGAAGGCAGCUGGCGACACGAAUAUUGACACUGAGGCACGAAAGCGUGGGGAUCAAACAGG